rnacentral:rRNA from 1 species
GACGAACGCUGGCGGCGUGCUUAACACAUGCAAGUCGAACGGAAAGGCCCUGCUUUUGUGGGGUGCUCGAGUGGCGAACGGGUGAGUAACACGUGAGUAACCUGCCCUUGACUUUGGGAUAACUUCAGGAAACUGGGGCUAAUACCGGAUAGGAGCUCCUGCUGCAUGGUGGGGGUUGGAAAGUUUCGGCGGUAGGGGAUGGACUCGCGGCUUAUCAGCUUGUUGGUGGGGUAGUGGCUUACCAAGGCUUUGACGGGUAGCCGGCCUGAGAGGGUGACCGGCCACAUUGGGACUGAGAUACGGCCCAGACUCCUACGGGAGGCAGCAGUGGGGAAUAUUGCACAAUGGGGGGAAGCCUGAUGCAGCAACGCCGCGUGCGGGAUGACGGCCUUCGGGUUGUAAACCGCUUUCGCCUGUGACGAAGCGUGAGUGACGGUAAUGGGUAAAGAAGCACCGGCUAACUACGUG